rfam:Triticum urartu cultivar G1812 contig697953, whole genome shotgun sequence.
AAAGUACUCCCUCCAUCCCAAAAUUCUUGUCUUAGAUUUGUCUAGAUACGGAUGUAUCAAGUCACAUUUUAGUAUUAGAUACAUCCGUAUCUAGACAUAUCUAAGACAAGAAAUUUGGGAUACAGGGAGUAGUUG